rnacentral:rRNA from 1 species
AAAUUGAAGAGUUUGAUCAUGGCUCAGAUUGAACGCUGGCGGCAGGCCUAACACAUGCAAGUCGAACGGUAACAGGAAGCAGCUUGCUGCUUUGCUGACGAGUGGCGGACGGGUGAGUAAUGUCUGGGAAACUGCCUGAUGGAGGGGGAUAACUACUGGAAACGGUGGCUAAUACCGCAUAACGUCGCAAGACCAAAGAGGGGGACCUUCGGGCCUCUUGCCAUCAGAUGUGCCCAGAUGGGAUUAGCUAGUUGGUGAGGUAACGGCUCACCAAGGCUACGAUCCCUAGCCGGU